UACGGAGGGUGCAAGCGUUAAUCGGAAUUACUGGGCGUAAAGCGCACGCAGGUGGCUGAGUCAGUCGAUUGUGAAAGCCCUGGGCUUAACCUGGGAAUUGCAGUCGAUACUACUCAGCUAGAGUAUGGGAGAGGGCAGUGGAAUUCCCGGUGUAGCGGUGAAAUGCGUAGAUAUCGGGAGGAACAUCAGUGGCGAAAGCGGCGCGCUGGACCACUACUGACGCUGAAGAACGAAAGCUAGGGGAGCAAACAGG
rnacentral:rRNA from 1 species